rnacentral:rRNA from 1 species
AACGAACGCUGGCGGCAGGCUUAACACAUGCAAGUCGAACGCACCGCAAGGUGAGUGGCAGACGGGUGAGUAACACGUGGGAACGUACCCCUUUGUUCGGAAUAACCCUGGGAAACUAGGGCUAAUACCGGAUACGGCCGAGAGGCGAAAGGUUUACCGCAGAGGGAUCGGCCCGCGUCCGAUUAGCUUGUUGGUGAGGUAAUGGCUCACCAAGGCAUCGAUCGGUAGCUGGUCUGAGAGGANGGCCAGCCACAUUGGGACUGAGACACGGCCCAAACUCCUACGGGAGGCAGCAGUGGGGAAUAUUGGACAAUGGGCGCAAGCCUGAUCCAGCCAUGCCGCGUGAGUGAUGACGGCCUUAGGGUUGUAAACCGCUUUUAGUCGGGAAGAAAAGGCGCACUCUAAUACGGUGCGUUCUUGA